rnacentral:rRNA from 1 species
CCGGAGAAUGUUAUCACGGGAGACACACGGCGGGUGCUAACGUCCGUCGUGAAGAGGGAAACAACCCAGACCGCCAGCUAAGGUCCCAAAGUCAUGGUUAAGUGGGAAACGAUGUGGGAAGGCCCAGACAGCCAGGAUGUUGGCUUAGAAGCAGCCAUCAUUUAAAGAAAGCGUAAUAGCUCACUGGUCGAGUCGGCCUGCGCGGAAGAUGUAACGGGGCUAAACCAUGCACCGAAGCUGCGGCAGCGACGCUUAUGCGUUGUUGGGUAGGGGAGCGUUCUGUAAGCCUGCGAAGGUGUGCUGUGAGGCAUGCUGGAGGUAUCAGAAGUGCGAAUGCUGACAUAAGUAACGAUAAAGCGGGUGAAAAGCCCGCUCGCCGGAAGACCAAGGGUUCCUGUCCAACGUUAAUCGGGGCAGGGUGAGUCGACCCCUAAGGCGAGGCCGAAAGGCGUAGUCGAUGGGAAACAGGUUAAUAUUCCUGUACUUGGUAUUACUGCGAAGGGGGGACGGAGAAGGCUAUGUUGGCCGGGCGACGGUUGUCCCGGUUUAAGCGUGUAGGCUGGUUUUCCAGGCAAAUC